rnacentral:rRNA from 1 species
AACGAACGCUGGCGGCAGGCCUAACACAUGCAAGUCGAGCGCCUCGCAAGGGGAGCGGCAGACGGGCGAGUAACACGUGGGAACGUACCCUUCGGUUCGGGAUAACUCGGGGAAACUCGCGCUAAUACCGGAUACGUCCGAGAGGAGAAAGAUUCAUCGCCGAAGGAUCGGCCCGCGUCUGUUUAGCUAGUGGGUGAGGUAACGGCUCACCAAUGCGACGAUCAGUAGCUGGUCUGAGAGGAUGAUCAGCAACAUUGGGACUGAGACACGGCCCAAACUCCUACGGGAGGCAGCAGUGGGGAAUAUUGGACAAUGGGCGCAAGCCUGAUCCAGCCAUGCCGCGUGAGUGAUGAAGGCCUUAGGGUUGUAAAGCUCUUUUACCCGGGAAGAUAAUGACGGUACCGGGAGAAUAAGCCCCGGCUAACUUCGUGCCAGCAGCCGCCGUAA